GGGGCUUUAGCUCAGUGGGAGAGCGUGCGACUGAAGAUCGUACGGUCCCGUGUUCGAUCCACGGAAGCCCCA
rnacentral:tRNA from 8 species